rnacentral:rRNA from 1 species
CGUAACUAUAACGGUCCUAAGGUAGCGAAAUUCCUUGUCGGGUAAGUUCCGACCCGCACGAAAGGCGUAAUGAUUUGAGCGCUGUCUCGACAAUGCACCCGGUGAAAUUGAAGUACCAGUGAAGAUGCUGGUUACCUGCGCCAGGACGGAAAGACCCCAUGGAGCUUUACUCCAGCUUGAUACUGGGAUUCGGUGUCGCAUGUACAGGAUAGGUGGGAGGCUAAGAAGGUAGGACGCCAGUCUUACCGGAGCCAUUGUUGGGAUACCACCCUUGCGAUAUUGGGUUUCUAACCUGCGGCCAUGACCUGGCCGGGGGACAAUGUCAGGUGGGGAGUUUGACUGGGGCGGUCGCCUCCGAAAGAGUAUCGGAGGCGCUCAAAGGUUCCCUCAGAAUGGACGGAAACCAUUCGAAGAGUGCAAAGGCAUAAGGGAGCUUGACUGCGAGACUGACGGGUCGAGCAGGUACGAAAGUAGGACUUAGUGAUCCGGUGGUAUAAAGUGGGAUUGCCAUCGCUCAACGGAUAAAAGCUACCCUGGGGAUAACAGGCUUAUCACUCCCAAGAGUUCACAUCGACGGAGUGGUUUGGCACCUCGAUGUCGGCUCAUCGCAUCCUGGGGCUGAAGUAGGUCCCAAGGGUUGGGCUGUUCGCCCAUUAAAGCGGUACGCGAGCUGGGUUCAGAACGUCGUGAGACAGUUCGGUCCCUAUCCGGCGUGGGCGUAGGAUAUUUGAGAGGAGCUGUCCUUAGUACGAGAGGACCGGGAUGGACUGACCUCUGGUGUACCGGUUGGGUAUCAAACCCAUGGCCGGGUAGCCAAGUCGGGAAGGGAUAAACGCUGAAGGCAUCUAAGCGUGAAGCCCCCCUCAAGAUGAGAUAUCCCAUCGCAAGAGUAAGACCCCUUGAAGACGACGAGGUAGAUAGGGCAGAGGUGGAAGCAUGGCAACAUGUGGAGCUGACUGUCACUAAUAGGUCGAGGGCUUAACCAA